GGGGGGGGUAAGGGGGGGUUGGGCAGAAUUUGCCUUGGUUCUGUUAAAGAACCAGCUGCAGGAAGCUAUUUCAAGUGAAGAGCUUCAGUCAAUACAAAUCUGAAAGCAGUGACAUCAUUUUUUGACCUGAGUUCGUCUUUUAGUCAUGGUAGAAAGGUUAGUCUCCGUACAACAUUGGAAAAUAAAAUGAUUUUCCUUCCCAGUAUGUUUAUUACCAACUACAUUUCACUUUAUUCCCAAAUCUUCUGGCCAGUUUCACCUCCUCUAGUGGUCUGUCAGAACCAGAUCCUCCAGAAAAAGAUACAAGUGCUCCUCCCUUAUGUGAUUCUGAUGCUCCUGGGAUUAUUUGAAAAGAUUUCAAAAUUUUACAAGGAGAAUCUGUUAAAAAAUGUCUCAGAUUAUUAUAAUUGGACUUACCUGGUGGCACGAUGGUUAAGAAUCCGCCUGCCAAUGCAGGGAACACAGGUUCGAGCCCUGGUCCGGGAAGAUCCCACAUACCGCAGAGCAGCUAAGCCUGUGCGCCACAACUACUGAACCUGCGCUCUAGAACCCGCGAGCCACAACUACUGAAGCCCGUGCACCUAGAGCCCGUGCUCCGCAACAAGAGAAGCCAGCACAAUGAGAGGCCUGCGCACAGCAAUGAAGAGUAGCCCCUGCUCGCUGGAACUAAAACAACAAAUUAGAAAGCCCUCGAGGAGCAACAAAGACCCAAAGCAGACAAAAAUAAGAAGUAGUUGCAAGGAGGAGGCUAUUCCCAGGGCUUUGGUCUGUAGGCACUCCCCAUGCCUGAAAUUUUACUGGCACUGUGGAAAUGGGGCAGUGGUUUCACUUUUCACUCUGCCUUCAGUGGGGCUCCCUGGAAGAAGUGCUAUGCCAGUGACUGGUGUUUUUCCUGAAGAAAGUAUCUCGGCCUUAAUGACCGGAGGUUUGGAU